rnacentral:misc_RNA from 1 species
UUUUGAACCUCCACCUCUUUGCUUUCUUCUCCCGCAACCACUUGCCAGGUUAUGUCUAAGAUAAACCUGGGAGGGCAUCUCCAUUUGAUUACAGGGAUGUCAGACAACUUAAUGUGCGACUGAUUGGAAGAAUGACCUUCAAAGCCAGGAGGCAGAAUAUCAUCAGCAGCUGCGCCAGCUGGAUGGGACAGCCAUGAUGCCUUUGCUUGGAGGUGAUCUUGGGCACCGAACCCAACUUGUGAAGGAGAUUCCUCCGA